CAUGCAGUCGACGCAGUAGCAAUACUGAGUGGCGAACGGGUGAGUAUAAUGUGGGUAUCUGCCUUUUGGUUUGGAAUAACACGAGGAAACUUGUGCUAAUACCGGAUAAGCCUUUACAGGGAAAGUUUUAUACGCCGAAAGAUGAGCCCGCACUUGAUUAGCUAGUUGGUAAGGUAAUGGCUUACCAAGGCUACGAUCAAUAGCUGAUCUGAGAGGAUGAUCAGCCACAUUGGGACUGAGACACGGCCCAAACUCCUACGGGAGGCAGCAGUGGGGAAUCUUGCACAAUGGGGGAAACCCUGAUGCAGCGAUGCCGCGUGAGUGAAGAAGGCCUUUGGGUUGUAAAGCUCUUUCGUCGGGGAAGAAAAUGACUGUACCCGAAUAAGAAGGUCCGGCUAACUUCGUGCCAGCAGCCGCGGUAAUACGAAGGGACCUAGCGUAGUUCGGAAUUACUGGGCUUAAAGAGCUCGUAGGUGGUUAGAAAAGUUAGUGGUGAAAUCCCAAGGCUUAACCUUGGAACUGCCACUAAAACUUUUUAACUAGAGUGUGAUAGAGGUAAGCGGAAUUUCUAGUGUAGAGGUGAAAUUCGUAGAUAUUAGAAAGAACACCAAUUGCGAAGGCAGCUUUCUGGAUCAUUACUGACACUGAGGAGCGAAAGCAUGGGUAGCGAAGAGGAUUAGAUACCCUCGUAGUCCAUGCCGUAAACGAUGUGUGCUAGACGUUGGAAAUUUAUUUUUCAGUGUCUCAGCGAAAGCGUUAAGCACACCGCCUGGGGAGUACGACCGCAAGGUUAAAACUCAAAUGAAUUGACGGGGACCCGCACAAGUAGUGGAGCAUGUGGUUUAAUUCGAAGAUACGCGCAGAACCUUACCAACACUUGACAUGUUCGUCGCGACUCUAGAGAUUAGAGUUUUCGGUUCGGCCGGACGAACACAGUGCUGCAUGGCUGUCGUCAGCUCGUGUCGUGAGAUGUUGGGUUAAGUCCCGCAACGAGC
rnacentral:rRNA from 1 species